UUCGCGGCGCCGCUAGGGUUAGGGAUAGAGUUUUGAGAGAGGGGUGAGAGGGGUGAGGGAUAGGGUUUUUCGUUUUUUUUUUUUUGAUGAGAGGGGUGAGAGAUCGUAUACAGAGAGAGGAGGGUGAGAUGGUCUCAUGGGCUUCGGGACUUGGUGGGCUUCGGAAAUAAAAUCUCAAUCCGGGCUUGGAGUCCGGAAUCAAGUUGAAGGCUGAUGGGCCAUUCCCAUUUCAGUCCGGAAUAGAAAUCCCAAAUCGAUUCCUGCAAACCUAACAAAAUUAAUCGGAUUUGAUCAAACCGAUUCCCAUUCCAUAUCCAAAAUGGAUAAACCAAACAAGCCCUAAUUGUAGGUCAUUUUAACAUGGCCCCCCUCAACUCAACUAUAUUUUAUUAUUAUUAUUAUUAUUAUUAUUAUUAUUAUUAUAUUUGAGAAAUGCUUGUAUAUUUAAAGUAAGUUAUAAAUCUUACACCAACCCAGUCAAGGGUGUAAGCACUUUCAUUGGGUUUUUAGGAUUAAAAAAAAAAAAGAUUGGUAAACACUAGUGUGAAAUAUUACCCUUUCGAUUGAUAGACCNUUAUUUUUAAAAACUUUUAUGCAAGAAAAAAAUUAUAAAAAUCUAGGAAUAGUAAUAAUUUCCCCUUAAAGCAUAAUUUCCCCUUCAAAUUUAGUAGUUUACCCAAAAAAUAAUAAUAAUUAAAAAAACAGUGGACAUGGAAAAUUAAAUGGAAAUUACAUAACCACGUGCACUUCACAACAAGGUCACAAAAAUCUACCAACAAAAGCACGAUCUUUUCAAUUUCCAUUAACAAUUCACACUGUAAUCAAACGGAUCCACCACUCGAAACCCUCCUAGAAACCCUAAUCGCACAAAGAACUAAGUAGAUCGGAGACAAAUCUACAAGCAAUGGCGAGUAAAGAUCCAAUCAGAUCGGGCCUCACCUCGUCGCCACACCGCUGCGCCAACUCGCUGUGCCGCCCCAUCUCGCUGUCGUGCUGCCGAGUCUCGCCACCACGCUGCCCUACGCCGCUGCCGUGCCGCGUUCGCGGCGCCGCUAGGGUUAGGGAUAGGGUUUUGAGAGAGGGGUGAGAGGGGUGAGGGAUAGGGUUUUUCUUUUUUUUUUUUUUUGAUGAGAGGGGUGAGAGAUCGAGAGAGGAGGGUGAGAUAGUCUCAUGGGCUUCGGGACUUGGUGGGCUUCGGGAAUGAAAUCUCAAUCCGGGCUUAGAGUCCGGAAUCAAGUUGAAGGCUGAUGGGCCAUUCUCAUUCCAGUCCGGAAUAGAAAUCCCAAACCGAUUCCUGCAAACCUAACAAAAUUAAUCGGAUUUGAUCAAACCGAUUCCCAUUCCAUAUCUAAAAUGGAUGAACCAAACAAACCCUAAUUGUAGGUCAUUUUAACAUGG
rnacentral:lncRNA from 1 species